rnacentral:lncRNA from 1 species
AUAUGUCCCAUCCAUCCCUAUGUGCCAUCCCAUCCCUAUGUGUCCCAUUCCAUCUCCUAUCGAUCCCAUCCCAUUCCUAUAUUGUUCAUCCAUCCCUAUAUGUCCCAUCCAUCUUCCUAUAGAUCCCAUCCAUCCCUAUGUGUCCCAUCCAUCCCCUAUAGAUCCCAUCCAUCCCUAUGUGUCCCAUCCAUCCCCUAUAGAUCCCAUCCAUUCCCUAUAGAUCCCAUCCAUCCCUAUGUGUCCCAUCCAUCCCCUAUGUGUCCCAUCCAUCCCUAUGGGUCCCAUUCAUCCCUUAUAGAUCCAUCCAUCCCUAAUGGGUCCCAUGCCAUGUGCCCUAUGUGUCCCUUCAUCCCUAUAAGACUCCAUCCAUCCCUAUAGAUCCCAUCCAUCUCCUCCUAGAUCCCAUCCAUCCCCUA